ACAUUUUCUGAUUAUUGAUAUUGCCAUCAUCAUCAACAUCAUCGCCCCAGAAGAAAAUUUAAGAGAUGCGACUAUUCUGUACUUCAAAUCUUUCUUCAUAACCUUAUUGUUCUCUUUCAAAAACAUCUAAGGUGAAACUAAUAAUUCAUAGUUUAAUUUAAAUGAUACAGAAAAAGAUUCUGUUAAUUUUGUUUUUUGAGCUUCACCAUAUAAGUAUGGAUAUAACUUCUCUAUAAUUUUCUCAAAUACUUGUUUAUUGAUGUGAACGCCGUUAUUUGUGAUCGCUUUGAUAGUAUUUUCUGUCGACGUUAUUUAACUGAAGUGUUGGUCGGUGUUUGAAAUUAGCUUGGGGACGAAAGAUGUCAUGCUAGCUCUUGAUGAUGGUGAAGACGAGAUAACUGUAUAUUUUCUUUUCAUCAUUUUUCGCAGGUCAUUUCGAAUUUCAUAAAAUCGUUUGAUUCAUUCCAUGACAUGAUAGAUGCAGUUGAAUGCAUUGAAGCCAUUAUCAAACUUUCGAUUGAAAUGUGUACAAGUGUCAGAG
rnacentral:lncRNA from 1 species